rnacentral:rRNA from 1 species
UACGAAGGGGGCUAGCGUUGCUCGGAAUCACUGGGCGUAAAGGGUGCGUAGGCGGGUCUUUAAGUCAGGGGGUGAAAUCCUGGAGCUCAACUCCAGAACUGCCUUUGAUACUGAGGAUCUUGAGUUCGGGAGAGGUGAGUGGAACUGCGAGUGUAGAGGUGAAAUUCGUAGAUAUUCGCAAGAACACCAGUGGCGAAGGCGGCUCACUGGCCCGAUACUGACGCUGAGGCACGAAAGUGUGGGGAUCAAACAGG